rnacentral:lncRNA from 1 species
UUGUCGUUGGCCUAAAAGUAGAUUUUCAACAAAUUUCGCUUGGUUAUAUAGAUGAUUCAUUAUUAAUUCUUUGUAUUCUUAUUUCUGUUGCAGGUGAGGCCCACUUUUUCACAUGAAGUAACAAAACAGAUGACUAUACUUGCGCGCGCGACAGGUCUAGUUAACUCAGUCGAUAUUGUCGAAAUCCUCAUCGUGGCUCUUCCUUGACUGAA